GCUGGAGGUAUCAGAAGUGCGAAUGCUGACAUAAGUAACGAUAAACAAGGUGAAAAACCUUGUCGCCGGAAGACCAAGGGUUCCUGUUCAACGUUAAUCGGAGCAGGGUGAGUCGACCCCUAAGGCGAGGCCGAAAGGCGUAGUCGAUGGGAAACAGGUUAAUAUUCCUGUACUUGGUGUUACUGCGAAGGGGGGACGGAGAAGGCUAUAUCAGCCGGGCGACGGUUGUCCCGGUUUAAGCGUGUAGGUGUGUGUUCCAGGCAAAUCCGGUUCACUUUACACUGAGGCGUGACGACGAGGCACUACGGUGCUGAAGUGAUAAAUGCCCUGCUUCCAGGAAAAGCCUCUAAGCAUCAGGUAACACAAAAUCGUACCCCAAACCGACACAGGUGGUCAGGUAGAGAAUACCCAGGCGCUUGAGAGAACUCGGGUGAAGGAACUAGGCAAAAUGGUGCCGUAACUUCGGGAGAAGGCACGCUGUCGGUAGGUGAAACCCCUCGCGGGUGGAGCUGAAGGCAGUCGAAGAUACCAGCUGGCUGCAACUGUUUAUUAAAAACACAGCACUGUGCAAACACGAAAGUGGACGUAUACGGUGUGACGCCUGCCCGGUGCCGGAAGG
rnacentral:rRNA from 1 species